rnacentral:rRNA from 1 species
GAUGAAACGCUGGCGGCGUGCUUAACACAUGCAAGUCGAACGGAACGCCAAGGAAAGAGUUUUCGGACAAUGGAAUUGGUUGUUUAGUGGCGGACGGGUGAGUAACGCGUGAGUAACCUGCCUUGGAGUGGGGAAUAACACAGUGAAAUUGUGCUAAUACCGCAUGAUAUAUUGGUGUCGCAUGGCACUGAUAUCAAAGAUUUAUCGCUCUGAGAUGGACUCGCGUCUGAUUAGAUAGUUGGCGGGUAACGGCCACUAAGUCGACGAUCAGUAGCCGGACUGAGAGGUUGGCGGCACAUUGGGACUGAGACACGGCCAGACUCCUACGGGAGCAGCAGUGGGAAUAUGGGCAAAUGGGCGCAAGCCUGACCCAGCAAACGCCGCGUGAAGGAAGAAGGCUUU